rnacentral:lncRNA from 1 species
AAGGCAAGGGAAUUGCACCCGAGGACCAGUAAUUUGAGUACUUCGAAAAUCUCCAUUCUAGACAUUGUGAGUAACAUUAUCAUCAUUUUAAUUAUCUAAAGUAUGUUUUAACUCGAUUUUUGUGAAAUUUUAUGAAAAUGAGUUAAAUGGCAAAUUUUAGGUUUUAUAAACAAAAAUGUGUUUAAAUGAAAAGAUUUUAUAAAUUAUCUUGAAACAAAAUAACGAUUUUGAAAAUAGAGUAAUUGGAGACCACAGGUAUGUUGUAAAUUUAUGAUUGGAAAUUGACGGCUUAUGUUAUAUUGUUAUUGUGUUGGCAUGACUGGCUGGACUGUGUUUUAUGAAUUGUAUGAAUUGUUUUAUUUUACCCUUGCAGGCUGGGUAGUAAAAUAUUAGCCUUGUCAUGCUGUCAAAAUUUUAUUGUAUGGUGGGUUUAGCUUGCUGCAGUAGGCAGAUUCUGUGGAUCAGCCUAUUAGAGGGGCACGAAAUUCAGAUAUAUAUAUAUAUAUAU